rnacentral:rRNA from 1 species
GAUGAACGCUGGCGGCGUGCCUAAUACAUGCAAGUCGAGCGAACGGACGAGAAGCUUGCUUCUCUGAUGUUAGCGGCGGACGGGUGAGUAACACGUGGAUAACCUACCUAUAAGACUGGGAUAACUUCGGGAAACCGUAGCUAAUACCGGAUAAUAUUUUGAACCGCAUGGUUCAAAAGUGAAAGACGGUCUUGCUGUCACUUAUAGAUGGAUCCGCGCUUCAUUAGCUAGUUGGUAAGGUAACGGCUUACCAAGGCAACGAUGCAUAGCCGACCUGAGAGGGUGAUCGGCCACACUGGAACUGAGACACGGUCCAGACUCCUACGGGAGGCAGCAGUAGGGAAUCUUCCGCAAUGGGCGAAAGCCUGACGGAGCAACGCCGCGUGAGUGAUGAAGGUCUUCGGAUCGUAAAACUCUGUUAUUAGGGAAGAACAUAUGUGUAAGUAACUGUGCACAUCUUGACGGUACCUAAUCAGAAAGCCACGGCUAACUACGUG